AAAGUGCGACAAGUGUCAUGACUUGCAGAUACCCGAGAGCUGACAAAUUUCUGAAUGCAAAUUGCAGCCAAGUUAACCUGGCUAUGUAUUGCAGAGAGUACUUCGCUUAUGCGCGCCAUCCAGGGGUGGUUCCAUUCCCCCUUGGGCUAUGUGCAGGCACUAUGUGCUUGCUGAGCAUUGUGCCAUCUCCAACCUCCGUGUUGGACUUACAGGCCAACUCAAAUUAAAGAUAGAAAACCUAGAGUUUUCCCGGAACAACAAUGAGAUAAUUGAGCCAUCAAUUGUUCUCACCAUUCACCUCUGCAAUGCAGGAGAACCCGCUGAACUUAA
rnacentral:misc_RNA from 1 species